rnacentral:rRNA from 1 species
AGUGAACGCUGGCGGUAGGCCUAACACAUGCAAGUCGAACGGCAGCACAGUAAGAGCUUGCUCUUACGGGUGGCGAGUGGCGGACGGGUGAGGAAUACAUCGGAAUCUACUUUUUCGUGGGGGAUAACGUAGGGAAACUUACGCUAAUACCGCAUACGACCUACGGGUGAAAGCAGGGGAUCUUCGGACCUUGCGCGAUUGAAUGAGCCGAUGUCGGAUUAGCUAGUUGGCGGGGUAAAGGCCCACCAAGGCGACGAUCCGUAGCCGGUCUGAGAGGAUGAUCAGCCACACUGGAACUGAGACACGGUCCAGACUCCUACGGGAGGCGGCAGUGGGGAAUAUUGGACAAUGGGCGCAAGCCUGAUCCAGCCAUACCGCGUGGGUGAAGAAGGCCUUCGGGUUGUAAAGCCCUUUUGUUGGGAAAGAAAAGCGGCAGGUUAAUACCCCGCUGUUCUGACGGUACCCAAAGAAUAAGCACCGGCUAACUUCGUG